rnacentral:rRNA from 1 species
CCUACGGGUGGCAGCAGUGAGGAAUAUUGGUCAAUGGGCGUAAGCCUGAACCAGCCAAGUCGCGUGAGGGAUGAAGGUUCUAUGGAUCGUAAACCUCUUUUAUAAGGGAAUAAAGUGCGGGACGUGUCCCGUGUUGUAUGUACCUUAUGAAUAAGGAUCGGCUAACUCCGUGCCAGCAGCCGCGGUAAUACGGAGGAUCCGAGCGUUCUCCGGAUUUAUUGGGUUUAAAGGGAGCGUAGGUGGCUUGUUAAGUCAGUUGUGAAAGUUUGCGGCUCCACCGUAAAAUUGCAGUUGAAACUGGCAGUCUUGCGUACAGUAGAGGUGGGCGGAAUUCGUGGUGUCGCUGUGACAUGCUUAUCUAUCACGAAGAACUCCGAUUGCGACGGCCGUUCACUGGACUGCACCUGACACUGAGGCUC